GCACUGGUGGUUCACUGGUAGAAUUCUUUCCUGCUAUGAGGGAGACCUGGGUUCCAUUCCUGGCUAAUGCA
rfam:Danio rerio chromosome 4, GRCz11 reference primary assembly.